rnacentral:tRNA from 1 species
CAGAAAAUAGUUUAGUGUAGAACGUCAGCUUUGGGGGUUGGCGGUGGAGGUUAAAGUCCUUCUUUUCUGA